UACGUAGGGUGCGAGCGUUAAUCGGAAUUACUGGGCGUAAAGCGUGCGUAGACGGUUACGUAAGUCGGGUGUGAAAGCCCCGGGCUCAACCUGGGAAUUGCAUUCGAGACUGCAUAGCUAGGGUGCGGAAGAGGGAAGCGGAAUUUCCGGUGUAGCGGUGAAAUGCGUAGAUAUCGGAAGGAACAUCAGUGGCGAAGGCGGCCAUCUGGGACAACACUGACGCUGAAGCACGAAAGCGUGGGGAGCAAACAGG
rnacentral:rRNA from 1 species